rnacentral:tRNA from 2 species
GGCCUAAUGGCCCAAUGGCAAGGCGCUUGACUACGAUUUCCCAAGUCUAAUCAAGAGAUUCCAGGUUCGACCCCUGGUUAGGUCA